rnacentral:lncRNA from 1 species
AGUGGGAGGGAAUGCGGGAGGUGAUUCUUCCAAAGCCAAGUCUGCAGCUCGAGCCUCAGUUUCCCCAUCUGGAAUUCGCCUUCCCGCUGACAUCUCCGUAGCGAAGCCUAAGAAAUUGGAGGGCUCAUCCUCUUCUUGCGGGGGUCAAGGGGACUGAAAGGACGUGCAGGAAAUGAGAUCCAUCGCAGACUCAGCUCCCCUCCCUCCUUCCUGUCGGUGCUUUUCCACUCACUCGCCUGCUCUCCCAUCUCCCCGCCCCCUCCGCCUGCCUCCUCGAAGCACUGUGGGAUUCCGAGGUUGCUGCAGCCAGAGAAGCUGCAGAAAAACACGGAGCUGGGGGUGAAGGGGGACUUAAAAGGGGAACUACCCGGAAGGACCCAAGAACACAAAGACAGAGCCACUGCGGUUAUCUGGCUGGUCAGCAAGGGUAUGCGGCUUCCUCCGCGCUGCGGAGGCUCCCAGAGCCAGGUCACCCAUUCUGCCAGCUCAAGUCUGUUGUCAUGGGAACCAAACCUUCCAACUUAAGAAUCUGGGAACAUGAAAGGUUCCAAGUGAGUUCCAAAAAAGGGCUCCAAACCAAGUAGCAGCAAUGUGGAAGAGUCAGGGAGCUGAACCAGGCGCCCACUCCUUUACUGUGGCCAAACGGCCCUGAGGUGAGCUCUGGUGGGGCAGCAGCCACCAUGUAUUAAUCAUCUCUAGCCCUGUGCCCAAGUAAAGUGUCUGGCACCUUUAGCUUUUUCACAGUGAUUUGUCAGGUCAACCAGGGAUUUGAGGCAGGAAAGACUAGAGGAGCCUGGACUAGAGUGAAAAGAAAACAGCUCAGAAAUUCACACAGGAAGCUGUAAGGCAGUACUGUUUCAAUGCUUUAUUAACAGUUGGAAACAAAACCAACAAACUGGAGGUGAUGACAUCCCAGAA